rnacentral:rRNA from 1 species
UGGGGAAUAUUGCACAAUGGGCGCAAGCCUGAUGCAGCAAUGCCGCGUGAGUGAAGACGGCCUUAGGGUUGUAAAACUCUUUCGCUAGGGAAGAUAAUGACGGUACCUAGUAAAGAAACCCCGGCUAACUCCGUGCCAGCAGCCGCGGUAAUACGGAGGGGGUUAGCGUUGUUCGGAAUUACUGGGCGUAAAGCGCACGUAGGCGGACCAGAAAGUUGGGGGUGAAAUCCCGGGGGCUCAACCCCGGAACUGCCUCCAAAACUAUUGGUCUAGAGUUCGAGAGAGGUGAGUGGAAUUCCAAGUGUAGAGGUGAAAUUCGUAGAUAUUUGGAGGAACACCAGUGGCGAAGGCGGCUCACUGGCUCGAUACUGACGCUGAGGUGCGAAAGUGUGGGGAGCAAACAGGAUUAGAUACCCUGGUAGUCCACACCGUAAAACGAUGAAUGCCAGUCGUCGGGUAGCAUGCUAUUCGGUGACACACCUAACGGAUUAAGCAUUCCGCCUGGGGAGUACGGUCGCAAGAUUAAAA